GCUAUACAUGCAAGUCGAGGGGCAGCAGGAAUAGCAAUAUUUGCUGGCGACCGGCGCACGGGUGCGUAACACGUAUACAAUCUGCCUUUAACAGGGGGAUAGCCCGAAGAAAUUCGGAUUAAUACCCCAUAAUACAUGAAGCGGCAUCGCUUUAUGUUGAAAGCUCCGGCGGUUAAAGAUGAGUAUGCGUCUGAUUAGCUAGUUGGUGAGGUAACGGCUCACCAAGGCGACGAUCAGUAGGGGAUCUGAGAGGAUUAACCCCCGCACGGAUACUGGGACACGGAUCCGACUCCUACGGGAGGCAGCAGUAAGGAAUAUUGGACAAUGCCCGCAAGGGUGAUCCAGCCAUGCCGCGUGCAGGAAGACGGCCCUAUGGGUUGUAAACUGCUUUUACACCGGAGAAAACCUCCCCUCGUGAGGGGAGCUGAUAGUAUGGUGAGAAUAAGCAUCGGCUAACUUCGUGCCAGCAGCCGCGGUAAGACGAAGGAUGCAAGCGUUAUCCGGAUUCAUUGGGUUUAAAGGGAGCGUAGGUGGACUGAUAAGUCAGUGGUGAAAUCUUCGAGCUUAACUCGGAAAUUGCCAUUGAUACUGUUGGUCUUGAGUACAGUUGCUGUGGGCGGAAUAUGACAUGUAGUGGUGAAAUACAUAGAGAUGUCAUAGAACACCGAUUGCGAAGGCAGCUCACAAAGCUGUAACUGACACUGAGGCUCGAAAGUGCGGGGAUCAAACAGGAUUAGAUACCCUGGUAGUCCGCACUGUAAACGAUGAUUACUCGCUGCUAGAGGGCAACUUUUAGUGGCUUA
rnacentral:rRNA from 1 species